ensembl:snRNA U4 U4 spliceosomal RNA
UUUAUUUCGCAGAGGCAAUAUCGUAGCCUGUGAGGUUAAUCCGAGGCGUGUUCAUUGCUGGUUGAAAACUUUUUGGGGGCAGUCGUGGGCUGGAGGUUAGGGAACCGGCCCUGUGACCAGAAGGUCGCCGGUUCGAUCCCCAGCCAGUCCAUGACUGAGGUGUCCUUGAGAAA